AAAUAAAAUAUUAAUAAUUCCAAUAUUUCACAAUGAAAUAGAAAAACAAAUGUUUGCGUUCAUCUCUUUGAUCACAAAAUGAAUGAUUUUCAUUCAUUUUGAGAAGGGACGAUGGGGUAAUGUAACCGUUUGUAACCUAAAAAUAAUGUGUCUCCGACACUUUUGCAAAACAGACUACAUCCCUGGUAAGGGGUUCUCACUAGCUCUCAUCGAGAGACGUCAAAACAAUCGCCACUCAGGGGUUCGUCCCAUUUUACCUCCCAUCCCUCUCACUACGCGGCUACUCUCUCCCGAGAGAUACCCAUGGGCGCGGAUGAACAGGCUUUUGUUAUCGCGAGGAAGUGUCAUCACCCAAUCAACGUCGCACACGUCAUUUCCAUUUGCCGACGUACUUAUAUAUUGGUGUGACGGUCGGAUGAACUCUAUGUGAUUCAAGGUUGCUUAGAUUCGGCCUAGCAAGUAAAGGUUUCUUUCUGUCCGUGAACGCCUUAGGGCUAUGAAGUGCGCGCCGUGUCCGUAAAGUUAAAAGUUAAAAAGUACAAGUAAGGUCUACAAGUUAAAAGACGUAAAACACGGAAAGUUAAAAGUGGCUAAAAAUAUAAGUUGUAUGUUUGAUAGAAAUACUAAAAACGUCGUAAAAGUUUAUAAUAACAAAAUAAUAACAAGUUACACCGAAUUACGAACGAAAAGCCGUAAAACCACGUGAAAUGUUACAUAGAAGAAACACUGAAACAGAUUAAAAACAAAAUACGAAGAAAAAGCUUUGCAUCGACCUCGACAGGUGGCGGUUGUGGCCAACACAAAUAACCACGCUAAAUACGGACAGAAAAGUAAGACGCAUCGGGUGGACAUAACCUCAAUCCAGUCUACCUAACAACAACCGCACCAACUCGGACCUGUAUCAGCUAUUGUUGAUUCGACACCGUUUCGGGACGCCGAAAUCGGUGAGAAUCUACCAGAACAAUCAACCGGGUCGAUAAGGAAAGCUUCAAAGAUCGCAACGCAAACAACUAACCAGAAACCUACACCUGUAAAACCGCAAGUAUAAGAGCAAACGUGAUGUUGAGUUUAGGGUUAUUGUCGCCAAUAAAUAACCCCGCAGUACUUUGUAAACCCAA